GAAAAUUUUAUUCUUUAUUGAACUUUAAUAGCUUUCGUUCUUUUUAAACACAAUAAAUACUUCAGUAAUAGCAUUUAAGAGACGAAUUCAAACUCACUUCAGUACCUAAACUCCCAGCCUGAGGACGGCUCCAGGGAAGGAAUUGGGGUCCUGGGGCCCACAGCCAUGCCAGGGCUGCUCAUGGCCAGGCAGGCUGGGCUGAGGGACCCCCACCAAAACCAGCAUCCACUUCAACUAAAAGCUCGAGGGACAGAAGCAGGCCAGGCUCCCUGCAUGAGGGGUAGAGGAAAAUUUUGAUCCAUGGGGGCUCAGACAAGGCUGCAAUGCCACGCUGGUGCUGCAGAUCUGCGUUAGAACAGCAAAAAGCAAACAAGCCUUCAUCUGGCCCAGCACUGCUGCCAGCCCACAGCACCGGAGCGGGACCGACACAUCGCACUGGAAGAUUUUGGGCUGGGGUGUGUAGGUGCUGGAGGAACUCCUCCUGCGCCUCAAGCAAGUGAUGCACACUAAGCAAAAAGGGACAACUGGAAACAAGAGAGCUUCAGGGAAUUUCCUACAGGUUUCAGAAGGAUACAAAAGCCCCGUGCACAGUUGUGCCAUAAACUAAGGUGACCAGAGCUUCAGCUACAGCUCCCACGUGCGCACAAAGCAGCUGCACUCUUGGAUCCGCGUGUAUACACACAAAUCUCUACCUCUUUCCCAGAGGCUUCUCAGAUCUAUCCCAAGCAGGCACAGAUGCUCCCAGAGAAGAUUUUAGGGGUCUUGCUAGAACUGACUGGCUCUCAGGGGCACAGAUCAAAGCUGCUCUCAGAUUACAAACUGCAGGUACUCCCUGCACCCAGAGUAACACCAGGCCAGCUCUAAGAGUAUGUGUUUUCAGUGCAUUAGAAGCUCACACUUACAGCAUCUUGCUCUCCUGGCCCUGGCUGCAUCGGGUGACUGAUGUUUGCGAGAGGAGAGGCUGCUGCUGAGCCAUGCGAGCACUGCGGGACAGCCGGAGCCAACUGCGGCACAGACACUGCGGGGAAGGAAUGAGCUAAAAACCACAGUGCUCACGUCCAUGAUUUUCAGGCAGUGAUUGCGCCUAUAAAACAUUUCUUAGUGUGAACACUGCUUUAAUGUAAACUCCAUGAGACCACAAAACCUACACGCCAGCCUCAGCUGGGGAAUUCCUGCGCUAGGUCCCUGUGUGGGUGCAGAGGCAGGAGCCAGAGACACGAAGCCACACAACUGAGAUAAAAAGGCUGCGUUAACCCAGCCUGCAAGGCUGCCCCAACCAGGUGAGCCCAGCACCAGCCCACUAACGUGUCCCAGCUCCCCACUUCACCACGAAGGGUGACCAACUGCAGGAAGGAGCAGGAGCAGGAGCAGCAGCACCGGGACCCACCUGGAGCCCGAGGCCAGGAGCCCAACGGUCCUGUGGGUCCUGAAGGACUGCACCCUCCCUGAACAGGCUUUUUCCCCCAGUAAUACUCUGGAUUGAGAUAAACUCAGGUCCACCAGUAAUUAAGAAACUAUGAUCAACUCUAUCCCUGGAAGAAGCGACAGCACAAACUGCAAGGACUGGCCCCAGGCAGGCCUGAGGACACAGCCCGGCCAGCAAGGGGAGCAACCAGCACCGUAACACACUUACCCUCACAUGCAGUUAGCAAGGAAUAAAUUUAUUUUUAAGACUUAAAACCAUUAUUAUUAAUAAAUAAUUUGUUUCUCAGCAUGCCCUACCCCACCAUGGCGAGAUGGUUUGGUCUUUCUGCUCAAGUGUUUCCGUUCCCCCAGAAGUUGGGAUCAGAAAUCACCCAAGUUACAACAGCCCAGACAGAAACCCACCCAGCUUCACAGCAGCACGAGUCAGAAACGGAGUUGGAUGCCCACCGAGACCAGGUCUGCUCUCACCUCGCUUUGCCACGAGCCUGGCAGCACUAGAGAGGAGCGAGCCUGCUUUCCAGCACUGAUUUAAGAUUUAAGCAGGUAUUUUUCUAGCUUCAAGGUGCAAUAAAUUAAGGCACCAAAAAUCCAGGACUCUUCAAAGAUAAAGCCUGUGCAGAUAGGAAGUGGUUCCAGUUUUUAAGAGACAGCUUUUUCCUACAGCACAAGUAUUUGCAGGAUUUUAGAGAGGAAGUCCUGCUUCCACAUGUUUGUAGCUUUACAAAGGCUUUUUUUUUCAGGUAUACUCUUACGGGCUGCAAAAAUCCACCAGCUCACAGCCAAGCAAGACAAGAGACAAACUGUGUACUAAGGAGACAAAGGGACAUCCCAAGGUUUAAGAUCAGACAUCCUCUCGCAGCACUGGUGAGCCCAGUCCUCAGGCCCAGCAGUGCUAUGGGAAGAGCCAGGACAACACAAGCUCCAGGCUCGGGACCCCAGAGCUCAGCUGAAAGGCUGAGGGAACAGCUCAGUUGUUCCCUAGUCCUGCAGACGUCUAACUAGAAAAUAAGUCAUCUAACUGCAGCUUUUGCCAGUGCUGCUAGCGCAGUUUUGCUACCUGAACAGGCCCCACAGGUAAGCGUUGUGUUCUCUUUCAGAGAUUCCCUGUAAUUCCUGUGCGAGCGUGACUUACAUUUACCUCCCUUCACAACUGCAUUUCAUUAAACAGCCAGAGUCAAAGAUUCAAGCACAGCCCAAUUCCUUUGCGCACUUCAUUUUUUUCUGUACAAUGUCAGUAAAAUAUAUAGAGUAAGCUACUUUAUUAAAUAAAUUCUGAAGACCAUUUGCCCCCUCUCCCAGAUAAGACACCGUUUGCAGACACGUGGCUGUACAGACACGAACAGACAGACGAGCAGCCGAGCCCUCCGGUGGCGCCAGCCCAGACAACUGCCCCAGCCGACCCCACGCAGGACGUACCGUGACCAAGCAACCCCGAUUCCACCCACGGCACCGCACAGAGCAGUGAACACUGCGAGCUGCCUUAGGAUUUCAAGUCUCAGUCUGCAUGACAAUGAUUCAAAUUUACAAAAAAAAAAAGCAAACAAAAAAAAUCCCAAAUCAUUAAAUAGUAGUUACAGCUUGAAGGUUUCCUAAAGCAGGAGGAGGAGUCUUCACCUGCGGAAGGAAAAUGCCAUGACCAAGCUUCCAUGACCCGCAAUGAUCAGUGUGUAAGAGACUUUGUUCCCAUGGUAAUUACAUAUGCACAAUCUGCUGUGCUUGUCCACUUCCGGAUGCAGCCUUUCCAGAACCUGGGUUUAAGCUACACUCUUCAUUCAAGCACAGGUCUUCAUUAAAUAAAAGUGAACAGAAAAGAAAAUCAGCAUUCAGUCUUCACCACCCCACUCUCAAUUAACUCAAUUACAGAAACGUUUAAAAAAGAAAAUCAAUGCAAACAUCUUUUACAAAUGGACAGUAAACAAAUAUAUCCCUGGAUGAGACACGCAGCCGCCGGGGACAGCGGUUUUGAAAACAAAGUGGGAUUUGGGAAGGACCCCACCACACACAUGCCUGUGAGCUUUCUGAAAGUGCACACGCAACCAACACAACAUUAUUAAGGUGCUUCUCCAAGCUGUGGAUUUGCUGCUGUCGGUGGUCUGGUGGGAAGGGCGAUGCGCAGGCUGAGCCUGGCUGCACCGCUGCAGAAGACGAGGCUCGGGCAGCACGCAGCGACCCAGCAGAGCCGACCUGGAACAGCAAGUUCAUACCAGCAGGAAGGGGGGAGUUUGGCUCCGUGUUACAGAGGCUGGUGUGAGCCGUGUUUCACCGCCGGUCAGGGCCCACGCGCCAGCCCGCAGGCAGGGAACGUCGAGAUGUGGUCCCAGGUGCUCACCGCUCGGGCAGGGGCCGGGGAAGCUGCCUUCCCACUUCUACAAAAAAUUGAGCCCUGAUUCCUAAGCCCCCCCGCAAGUAGAAUAUUACUGCAAGUUUUGUGUGUUUACUUCUGCUUUAAAAAAAGGUGCAAGUAUUUGCCCAAAUGAAUGAGUGCAGGAAGGCAGGACAGAACGUGGGAGAACUGUCACCAUUUGCUCCUUAAGUACCGGCCCGGGAGAAGGG